UUCGACGCCGCGGCAGUAAGCGCCGCGACGUCCGUCGGGGACGCGUCAUACGGCGUCCGCACGUGAGAACUCGUGUCACGUGGCAGUCGAAAUCUCGAAACUCGUGGACAUGAAAACCGGAAACUGUAAGAGUUGAAGAGCCGAUUCUUACGCAAUUUUCUGAUCGGAAAUGGGCAAGAAAGUUUUGCCUUAGAGAUUUUUCUUCCCGAAAAUAUACAUUUCUUUUCUAGCUCAUCUAUCUCUCGAUUGACUAUUAAAUAAUUGAAAUGAUAUAUGCGCGAUAUUCAAGUGAUUUUUUUAUUUGCGUGUACGAAAAAAUGACGAAUAAAUGAAUUGUUUGAUAAAUUAUCUGCUGCAUGAUUGACGUUGACUGUAUUCAUGACAAAUGUGAUUGUCAGUGACACUUGAUUGUUAUAUAAGUGUCAGAGGUACGCUAUGUGUUACAAAUACCGCAAUGAUCGAUCUGCAUAAUUUUAGAUGAUUAUUCGAACUGUUACCUAACAAAGAACUCAAGCUAGAAUCGUUCAUCCUUAACAAUUUUAGACACCACGCUAAAUACAUUUUUAUAAAAAUCUCCUACUCGCAUAUUUAAAAUCUAUGUAAUAAAAAAUGACGAGUGCAAUUGCACGAAAAAUCGCCUGAUCAGCAGAAUAUGCCGUAAAAGGCUCGAAGCGUUCUAAAAAUCUUCAUAAUGAUCAACAAGUCCGACCAGGAAGAGACUCACAUCGGCGAUCAUCAUCCUGGAAGAAAUGCGACGAUGCUGAUCCGUGAGAAGAGACUCGGAGGUACGUCAGGGUGCAUCGAGAGAACUGUUGAAACUUCGAAGAGCGUCUCCCAGGGAUCGACGAGAAACAGAGCGGAUCACGAUCUCGGUUUCUUCCAUCGGGACUCUCGCGACCUUCGUCCUCUUCGGAUUUAUUGAGAUUAAGAAUGAGACACGAAGCGGCGACAUUAUUAUGGGACACUUCGAGAACUGUUUAGAGAACGGCUUCUCCAGGCGGACGUCCAAGAGGUCCUGCGAGAAGGCGUCGCGCCGUCUGAGGUCCCUGAUCGCCAAGGCCAGGCGGUGGGGUCUAACGACCGGCGAGGUCGCCGAACUUCCGGCGAUAAAGAGGCUGGUGCCUAAUCGAGUCACCCCGAGCUCGGCCGCGCGGACGAUCUUGGCUAUGAUCCUUCUGCUCCUCGGCGGCGGCAUCGUCCUCGCGUACAUCUGCGCACCCUGCAUCACCAGGAACAGCACGUGAGGUCGUCCCGCGAAUUAGCUGCCGCAAUAGAGAUUAUCGAUGUGUGGCGAGCAAAAUACAUAUAAAGGCAGUGCCGAAUGUAUGGAGCAUACAUAUGUACACAGAAAUAUUUAUAAGAUUUUCCUAGUUUUAGCGUGUACAAUAUAAGCAAUUUGCGCGUAUAUCGCGAAAAUUUAUCGCAAAGUUAUUUAUCACGAAUUGCAUGCGAGAGAGUCGAACAAGGAGAAACAAGAACGUAAUUGAAACGUAUUUUUUUUAUACGACACACAUAGAUAAGAACAAUAAUAACAUAAUUGUCUGAAAUUCAUAAAUCGAUUGAAAAAAUACUGUUACUCUCUUAAUGAAUUACACUUUUACUGAUAUCAUCAGCGAAAUAUGUUUAAGCAAAUUUAUAUUAAAUAAAGUGUGAAAUUGUUUCAGCAAUUUUAAUUUUUGAAGUAAGGUCUUACAUUGACAUUUAAAUUUGCGAUUCGUAAAAUGUCAGAAUAUGCAGGGACAUGAUUUUUGUGUAUACGUCACAGGAAAUGAUUGUUCAAAAAAAUGUAUCAUUCCGACGACUAAAAUAUUGCUCAAGAGUGUAAGGAUUCUGGAAUAUUACAUCGAAGAAAGCAUGUAAAUCUCACUUUUUUAUACAAGCAAAUAUAAAAAUUAUAGCGAUAAUUCGUAAUAUACUGUAUUAAUCAUUAGAUAAAACACUUUGAAAUUGUUAUAUUUUUCCGUUGUAAUUUCUAUUGUAAUUAUAUAUAAUCAGUUAUAAUGAAGAAAGUCAGAAUUUUACCAUAAUCUAAUGCUCGAUAUAGAUAUCAUUCUCGUAUACUUUAUAUUUAAACACGCAUAUAUAAUUAUAAUUAAUAAUUUCGGUAACAUGAAUAUUGCUUGUUUAUAGUCUCACAUUUUCUCUUUCUACACAUGUGUCAGUCAACAACUCUCAUGUCAUUCUUAUAAGCUUAGAAAGCUUAGGACGUACAUCUUUACUGAAGAGAAAUAAAAAUGUAUUGUAUAUAAAGAGCAUAAUU